CCGCCCCACCCCCGCCCUUCCCCUCCCGGUGGGCGAGGUCUGAGGCUUCCGGAGCCUCAGAAAGUGAGGAGGUGAAAGGUGAAGGGAGCCGUGGGAGGAGACGCUCGCGGGCGGGGCGCGGUCCAGGGUUGAACCAAUGGGGAAGGAGCGCGGGGGGCGGGGCCGCCGGAAGUGCGGCGCUCGGCGCUUCCGCCGGCCUUCGCUCUGGGAGCGGGCUCGGGGCGCCGGGCGUGCCUUCUGCGGCGGGGCGGGCUCCCCGGACGCCGGGCGCUGUCAGACGCCGUUUGGGGGCCCUGUUAAAGCGGGUGCCGGAACCCAGGGGCAGAUGUGCCCGCGUGGACGCUGCAGGGUGGAUGGAGAGACGGGCGGCCGCUGGUUGUCUCCGCGCUGUGCUCUCAGCUGCACGUCGCAGUAAAACAAAAAUCGUGACGAUGAGAACAGCACCUAGGGAUGCUCUGGGGACACAGCUAGAGCUCAGACAUCCAGACGCUUUCGUUGACCUGGCAGAGGCCUUGCUGCUUGGUCACGUGCCCUGAAGCCGAGGCGCUGGGAGGGGAGGGGGCGCUUUGCUUAACGCCCCGGCGGCUGCCCCUCCAGCGAGGGCCGGCUCCUCUCCGGCGCUCCUGGCCCGCAGCCCCGUCCGCCAAGAGGGAGGGCUGGAGCCGGUGGUCUCGCCCAAGGGGGAGGGCUGCCUGCAGGUCUCAUUUGCGAGGACCAAGCCUCUGUUCUCGGCGCGCAUCGAAAGUGUUGAUAAUGUUGGACGAGCCUCUACACUGUGCCAGGGUCUUGUGACACCUGCCGGGGAGGCAAACCGCCAAAUCCAGAAUGUAGGCUGUUCUGUGGAAGAAUGACCCAGUUUAUUAAUUAAUUAAGGGGCUGGGGGAAAAGAAAGGAAGUAGGACUGUGUGACAAUUAAAGCUCAAAAGACAUAAUUAAAUGGUGUGUGGACCUUGUUUGGAUCAUGAUAGGACAAACCAGCUGGACACGAGGAAACUAGGUUUCCCAGGCUGAGAGACUUGCCAGGACGAGGGACCUGACGUCUGGCAGCAAAUCUCACCGCCACUCGUCCCUAGCACACUGGCUCCAAGCAGGAAGGAUGUUCUUGAAAAAGGCAUAAUAGGUGUGGUAGACACAAUUCUGAAGAUGGGCCCCAAGAUACCCAUCCUCUGGUUAUCCAGUCCAACACAAGUCCCAACGCUGCUCUGAAGGCACUUUGCAGAUGUAACGAAAAGCCCAAGCCAGUUGGCCUUCAUGGAGAUUAUCCGGUAGGCUUGACCUUGGUGGGUGGAGAGGUUCCUCGAGCAGGCGACCCCAGAGAGCCUCAAAGCGUGAGAACAGUGCUGCUUUGGAGAUGGAGGGGUCGUGUGGGAGAGAAGGCAGUGUGCGGCCUCUGGGAGCAGAGGGAGGCCCUCAGCUGAUGGUCAGCAAGGAAAUGAAGAUCUCCGACCCACUGUUGCCAGGAGCUGGACGCCACCAGCAACUUGAAGGAGCCCCGUGGGAGCCCAGCCUGCCGGCACCUGCUCUUAGGAGGCCUGGAGGGCACUGAGCCACCGAAUAAUCCUGUGAGGUGGGCAUUACCUCUCUUGGCUUCAUUGGAUCGUGUUUUGGCUCGCAGCACAUGGAAUGGAUUAAUCAUAAGCCUGGCUCCCUUUUUCAUCACCACUGCUCAUUCUUGGCCCACUUCUGAUUGUUCCUUUGUUUUGGUGGCCGACCCCUCCGCCCCGAGGAAACAAGGAUUCCCAGGCUGAGACACUUGCCCGGACAAGGGACCUGACGUCUGGCAGCAGAUCUCACCACCACUCGUCCCUAGCACACUGGCUCCAAGUGGAAAGGAUGUUCUUGGUAGGAAAAUGCCACUAGGGCGCCUGGGUGGCUCAGUCGGUUGAGCGACUGCCUUCGGCUCAGGUCAUGAUCCUGGAGUCCCUGGAUCGAGUCCCGCAUCGGGCUCCCUGCUCGGCGGGGAGUCUGCUUCUCCCUCUGACCCCCCCGACCCUCCCCCCUCUCAUGCUCUCUCUCUCUGUCUCUCUCUCAAAUAAAUAAAUAAAUAAAAAAUCUUUAAAAAAAAAAAAAAAAGAAAAUGCCACUAGAAGGGGCCACAGACGUUCCCGUUGGAAUAACUUUCUGCAAAAAGAGCCCCAUCAUUUGCACGGGGAGAAGCGAAUGCAACAGAAACUCCCGGCAUGUCCCCGAGAACUUUGGAAAGAUAGCGGUUAGAACCGGCUGCCCCAGGUGCGGUCAGGGGCCUGCCAUGGGCACAGUCUUCUCUUCCCGCAGAGCUGGGGAGAGGGUGGCCUUGGCUUGCCCGAAGGACAGGGCAGGAGGGAGGAGGCAGCAAGCCCCUCAGAUCCUGGGGAGAGCGUCUUACAAGGCCUGUGGACAUGAGGGAGAAUUUGUAUCUAAGGCUGAUUAAAUUGUUCACCACAAGCCCCCUGCGUUUCGAACCCUCCUGUGUGUUGGUCGAAUUCAUCAUCAGCCAGAAAAAAGUCAGAACCAUGAAAAGCGCUGUGGGUGAGGAUUGGCAGGAGGGAUCGUUUCUCAUUAGAAAAACAAUGGAGAUUAUUAUAGCGGCGUUGGAGGGAGCGAACGGUAGGGUAGCCCGGGCACAUCAGCCUUCCCCCACCUUCUGCGGCUGUUGUGCGCGUCCCCGUGAGGAAGCUGAGUGCCUGGGCUUUGUCUCCCCUUGGCUCUGCGCUUGGAUUGGUCAUGAGCCCAGGACCGGAGCCAGAAGCAUCUUGAGGUGACGGCAGUGACCCUGCGGGACCACGGGUCAAGUGGGUCUCUCCCCUGAAUAAUGAGGCUAAGGACACUCGCGCUAUCGUGAGGAGCAUGUGGCUUUGCCGCACAUCCCCCAGACGAUGACCUGUCACAGGGACAGUGACUGCCACCAGUAACAGUGUUCGGGAAAGCGGUGUCGCGUUGGUGAUGGAUGAGGUGUGGCUCUCGCCCUCACGAUGUGGAUGGAGCUCCGGCCGUCACAGCAGCAUCCCCAACAGCAGACCCGCAGAGUUGGGGGCUGGGAAAGGCCACACUGUAGCGAUCUCUCAGGGAAGUUCUGUGCAGGGGGGCUGUGAGCUGGGGAGCGGGGUGCUGUGGGCCCAGCCUGCCAGCUUGCCCCUUCACAUUCUGUCCCAUCCUGGCCUCCCCCUGCAUUCACCGAUUGGACUGCUUUUCCCUGAGGUGUGAAAACUUAGAAAGCACCUUCUCCAAAGGGAGUUUCCAAAACUGAAGAUGUUCCUUCCAGAAACAAAGCCAGUGACCUGAGGCCACAGGAAAGCAAACUGGAGCUGGGCCAGGGCCUGCGACCCCAGGAGGAGCCCUGCUGCGCCCCCGGCCGGGGGAACCCAGCCUCCUGCCGGCCCGCGCGUCUGCCCACAGCCUGAGCCGCAACCGGCAAGGGAGCAGCCCCACUUGGUGCUACAGGUGGCCGGCGCUGAGCCCGGUUUCUGGAACAAGCAGCGUCGGGGCUGGGCCCCCACCACCCCCAGCCUGCGGCUCUGCCCAUCACCUGGCCUCUUACGGGAUCCCAUCCUUCGGCAGAAGCGACAGGCCCGGAGACAGGGGAUGCGACCCAGGCAGGGCCAAUCAGAUCCUUCCCUGGACGUGCUGUGUGGAAGCUGGGGGAGCAGGUCUCUCCCGCCAGGGUCCCCACGCGGGGAGACGGGCUUCUGGAGCCCUGCGCCCCUGCCCACCGCGCCCCAGGGGGUGGACCAGCAGAGGCACGCGGGGAGGGGAGGCUGGAGACACAGAUCCCCGCCCCAGAGCCUGAAUCCUCCCCCGGAAGCCCUUUCUUCACUCCCGAGGCCCGUCAGCACCCGUCCCUGCACGGGGAACCAAGUUCCGAUUGACUCCGUUUGCCUGCGGGGCUUUGCGUCCGUCUUCCGUCACUUACCGCUAAGGUUGUCACCACAGUGUCCCUGCACCGUCACUGUGACCCCGUGGACAGAGGAGGGUGCUGCGGGGAGUCCAGGUCCCACCCUCGUGCGCUGUGGACCGCACGCUCUUUCCAGCACCCGCUCUUCCCUCUCUCAAUCCAACGGGCAUCUGACCCGCGCAACGGGCAUCUGACCCGCGCUGUGAUGUUCGCUGCCGCUGUCACCGCGGGGCCCUUUCCCCAGCACGCUCCUGCUGGGCUUUGCUUCCAGCUGGGUCCGCCGGCUCAGGCAGUGUGAGCGGGUCCUACUCCGUCUAACCAUGAGACUGUGGGCUGCUGUGUGGAAACCCCCGGGCCGCCCCCAACCGCGACAGCGUCGCUUGCGAGCAUCAGGGGCUCCCUUCCCUCACCUCCCCGGCGGCUCGGGGGAGAGUGAGUGAGGCGUGCAGGUAAGCCCGGGACGCAGACACCAGGCCUCGGCCAUCCUCCCCCCCCCCCCCCCCAGAGAGCUGCUGAGUUUCCCCAAGUUUACGUCUAGAAAUCCAUGGCCGAAUGUUUUGGGUUCUACCAACUUAGUGGACAAUCAGGUAAGAUCCAAGUGCAUAGUCCUACAGACUUCUGAAAAUCAAACGUAUCUGGGAUGAGAAAUGGCACCCCUGGGCAUUCCCCCAAGGGAAUCGGGAGCGGGAACGGAGACAUUUGUGCACCCUCAUGUCCAUGACAGCACUGUUCCCAGGAGCAGAGAGGUCGGAAGCGGCCCCCAGGCCCUCGGAGGGAGGGUGGACGGCCGGUCUGUGGUACUUUGUUCCAUCCCGAGGAAACUCAGACGGGUGGCCCAAAACGACCGCGAUGAUUUCUUGCUGCUGCGUCUGUGUUCAAGUUGCCCUCUCCCUUGAAGGGCGCCGGUCAUAUCGGAGGAGAGCCCCCCUCUACUCCAUUACGGCCUCAGCGUAACUAACUCCAUCCGAAAAGACGUCAUUCCCAAAAAGGUCACGGUGACAGGCACUGGGGUUUAGGACUUCAACACACCUUCCGAGGGGAUACCGUUUAACCCACAACAGUCUGCCCUCUGGCUCCCUAAAUUCAUGCCCUUCCCAUAUGCAAAGUACAUUCACAUUAGCCCGAUAGGCCCCCAAAGUCUUAACCAUUCCAGCAUCGAAAUGCCGUCAGGUCGGACUCAGAUCUUGACUCCUCUCUGUAUCUGAGGCCCACGCGGGGGACACGCUCGGGGAACGUUGGGUGGAGAAUCCAGAUCCAGGAGCCACUCCCGUGCCACUCUGCUCUGGUGCAAAAUCCCAACAGCCGCCACCACAAGCAUUCUCGGGCUCGCUCAGCGCUCACUGCCCACCUCGGGGGCUGCCCUCGGGAUCCCGCGGGGCGCCGAUCCGACGGAACCCCUGAGGCUGGAGGGAAGCCCAAGACAGAGACUGGUGAUCGGAAUAAAAUGUAAUACCUGGCUUCCAUCAAGAUGCUUAGCACACACUCUUUUGUGAUUGCUUACCUAAAGCAACCCGAAAAACUGCAUGAGACUGCAUUUUUGUACAACAACGUGAAACUGUUUCUACUGACUUUUUGUUUGCUCUUGUGGAGACUUCACGUCUCUCCUCCAGGAUAAUGUGGUCUUUUGUCUUCUCAGAGCUCAUGGAGCUGUAUCUUCCGGCUGGGCCUCCCCCUCUUCUCUCCCCCGAUGGCUGGGCUCACUGGGGUCCUUCCGCCUGCUCACCUGCAAGGGUGGCCCCACAUCUCUUCUCCUUUAUCAUGUGCUGUGAAUGCCAAUGCGAGGCCAGGCCACUGUCUUUGGGGAACAACUGAGGGAAUGGGCUGUUCCAAGUGCAG